rnacentral:rRNA from 1 species
UACGUAGGGUGCGAGCGUUGUCCGGAAUUAUUGGGCGUAAGGGCUCGUAGGCGGUCUGUCGCGUCAGGAGUGAAAACUCGGGGCUUAACCCCGAGCCUGCUUCUGAUACGGGCAGACUAGAGGUAUGCAGGGGAGACUGGAAUUCCUGGUGUAGCGGUGAAAUGCGCAGAUAUCAGGAGGAACACCGGUGGCGAAGGCGGGUCUCUGGGCCGUAACUGACGCUGAGGAGCGAAAGCGUGGGGAGCGAACAGG